rnacentral:rRNA from 1 species
UGGGGAAUAUUGCACAAUGGGCGCAAGCCUGAUGCAGCCAUGCCGCGUGUAUGAAGAAGGCCUUCGGGUUGUAAAGUACUUUCAGCGGGGAGGAAGGGAGUAAAGUUAAUACCUUUGCUCAUUGACGUUACCCGCAGAAGAAGCACCGGCUAACUCCGUGCCAGCAGCCGCGGUAAUACGGAGGGUGCAAGCGUUAAUCGGAAUUACUGGGCGUAAAGCGCACGCAGGCGGUUUGUUAAGUCAGAUGUGAAAUCCCCGGGCUUAACCUGGGAACUGCAUUCGAAACUGGCAGGCUAGAGUCUUGUAGAGGGGGGUAGAAUUCCAGGUGUAGCGGUGAAAUGCGUAGAGAUCUGGAGGAAUACCGGUGGCGAAGGCGGCCCCCUGGACGAAGACUGACGCUCAGGUGCGAAAGCGUGGGGAGCAAACAGG